GGAGUUCGUUAUUCCCACGGGAAGCGAGGACCUCGUUGCCAUGGUGAUGUGAGCCUUCCAACCCCGAGACCCGCCCGGGAGGCGCAAUCCUUCCUUGCGCGGCCCCGCCUGAACUCCCGGGCUAAGGGCGGCCUCGGUGGGCCCGCCCUGCCCUGUGGGAGAAGGGUUUUAGGCUCCAGAUUCUUUGGGCUGGAGGGAAGGGGAGACAUUAAUUAAGAACCCAAGGGAAGAAGGUAGGGGAAGGAAGACGAAUGGAUAAGAAGGUUGUUUUUUUUUACAAGCCACUCUGCCCUUUCCUCCCACCCACCGGGACUCUUCAGUCAAAGGCGGUCUCUCUGGAUCAGGAGCAUUUGGGUGGGGACGUCGGACACUCUGCUUUCCUCUCAACGUCUUCCAGGAACCCCGGGGCAUUUUUUAAAGGUUCUGGAACGUAGCUCACUGGAAUGAAGCUUUAACCUCUCCUGCCCCUCCAGCCUGGGACUGAAAAGAAGCGGGGGAGCGAGCGGGUCGGAGCGACCAGCCGAGCCCGGUAACGGUGGGUGGAAGGGAGGGCGACGCCUUCGGCGCCCUGCGCUGCGCCGCCCAACCUGGGACCCGGAUCACCGCGCAGGGAGCGGCCGGGGUCAGAUCUGCAGGCACUGGUGACUUCCAGGAGUCUCCAUUCACACCAAGAAGAGAGACGCAGUUUGAGAGCCAAAGUUUACUCCUUCCAGAUCAUCAGGCCUACAGCACCACACACAAAGAAGUGACAUUACUGAGAGACCACUUGCCCUAGUCACUUCAGACCUGACCAAGUAUGAGCUGACCAAGAUCGAAAUUGGGACCUCUCAAUAGUGAAAAGAGGUGCCAUUGAUAAUUACAUGGAACUUUCCUCAGCAAACCACAAUGUGCCCGCCUUACCUGAAGGGUCAUUUCCAUUUGCAAGGGCCAUGAUAAGACGCACUCCUGAAACACAACAGUUGGUUAGUGGGACACCACUUUGUUGCCGUCAUCUCUACCCACAUCGUGCUUGGGACAGCAAGGGUAUGGCAGUGCAAUGCCGUGCAUCCCAAAUAUCUGUGAGAUGAGUAAAUGAGUGAAUAAGUGAAUAAUUAAAGAAGAUCUGUGCUAAGAAAAGGCAUCCCAAGGUUGGCAUUGUGAGGGCAGCUGGAGGAGACAGUGGCUAAGGCCGCCUCUGAGCUUAACAGCUCUCCUUCCACUGGACACAGGUCAGGGAGGACGUCCAGUUCGCCAGUCAUCUGUCAAAAGAGAUCCCCUUUCUGUCCUUUCCCUCGAGCUCUCUGAGAAACAUCACACCACCUCCAUGGUGGUGGAUCUCUGCUUCUCCAAAACUCAGGGAAGACAGUUCUCUCCAGUGGCCAACUCAGCUCCCUCUAACCGCAGUUUCAGUGAGUCCUUCUGCCUGCUCUGUCAAUGCCAACGGCUCUUCUCAGGGUCAGGGUAAAACAUCGUGAAAGCCAGCCCGGGAUGAAAGUCCACAGAAGGACUUGGUGGAGAGGAGGGGAGAGGCAUGUGCAGAAACACCGUUCAAGGUGAUGGGGAUCUGCAAGAGGCAGAGAGGGGCCCCGGGGAUUCAUGCGGGAAGAGUAAUUACAUGCAACACAACAGCUCUCUGGGCCAGCAUCACUGCCCAGAGCGUGGCCCUGAACGAAGGUGGAUUGCUUCAAUUAUCUGGGCAUCUUGAUGAAUGGGCCCUGCACACGCUCUGGGGAAGAUGGAAGGAAACUAGCCACAGAUUAAUCACUCAUGGCAUCACUGAAUGGACGGUGUUUAGAGCCUGUGAGCGCCACGGGCACAACAGGUUCACAAAAGCAGAGAGGGAAACGGAAAGCAGUCAGGCCGUGAUUAGAAAAAAAAAGGGGAGGAAGCAAAUAUAACAUUAAGACUCCUCUUUUGGGGGCUAAUUUGCAUAAAGAUAGUGGCAAUUGAAGCAGCCCAAGUAGGACUAGACAGUGGAGUAUAGUCCUGGAAUUGCCUGGCCUAAAGUGCAGCCAGGAGCUGGGGCCCUAAAGGUAACCCUGAACCAGAGAAGGAGGGUCUCAGACGCCAAAGGAGGGAGAGGCGAGGGAAGGAGACAAGAACUGCUGACACCAACCCAGGAAAGCUUUCCAGAGAAGAUGAAGCCAUGUUCCGUUCCAGCCUCUUCUAGGACUUUCACAGUAUGCACCAUUAGUGGGGUCUCAGUGCUUCUCUGCCCCAGAUUACUAUGGGGUAUGUGUGUAUUUAAAUAAAGAGAAUUAUUUUUCCCUUGAGAAAUAUCUGAUUGUGUGUGUCCAGCAUUCAACAUAUGGUAUAUCAUAAAUGUUUGUUGAAUGAUUGAAUAAAAAUAGCAUUUGUUACACUUCUCCUGUGUCAGACAAUAUGCUAAGUGCUUUACACAAAUAAAUUUAAUGUAAUUCA